ACAGGAAACACCCGCAAAUGAGCCAGAAAAUACUGACACAUCUCACAACAGAGUCGACGGUCCCGUGUGUAGGAUGUCUUAUCAAGAGAAGCGUCGGCCAAUCUAUGCUACAGUGGUUAAGUGCAUUUCUUUUAAAAGUUUUAACGUUAGAUGCAGAAGAAACCAACUUCCACUUAUACUAGCUUCAACUAGGUGUCUUCAGAUGCCAUAUCCAUUAGAAACCAACUUCCACUUAUACUAGCUUCAACUAGGUGUCUUCAGAUGACAUAUCCAUUAGAAACCAACUUCCACUUAUACUAGCUUCAACUAGGUGUCUUCAGAUGCCAUAUCCAUUAGAAACCAACUUCCACUUAUACUAGCUUCAACUAGGUGUCUUCAGAUGCCAUAUCCAUUAGAAACCAACUUCCACUUAUACUAGCUUCAACUAGGUGUCUUCAGAUGCCAUAUCCAUUAGAAACCAACUUCCACUUAUACUAGCUUCAACUAGGUGUCUUCAGAUGCCAUAUCCAUUAGAAACCAACUUCCACUUAUACUAGCUUCAACUAGGUGUCUUCAGAUGCCAUAUCCAUUAGAAACCAACUUCCACUUAUACUAGCUUCAACUAGGUGUCUUCAGAUGACAUAUCCAUUAGAAACCAACUUCCACUUAUACUAGCUUCAACUAGGUGUCUUCAGAUGACAUAUCCAUUAGAAACCAACUUCCACUUAUACUAGCUUCAACUAGGUGUCUUCAGAUGCCAUAUCCAUUCAAGAACUAAGAGUGUUGUUGUU